UUUUGGAAAUAAGAGUGAUAAAGAGUAAGAUGAAAACUACCUUCUACUAUUUGCUAGAUCAUUUGGCGUUUGUUCGUAGGCAGCCGCCUUCCGCGAUCAUGGUACCAGCUGACGACGCGGUCAUCCGUUAGGUUGGGACAUUAAAAACCCGAUGUUUAUUCCGUGCUGCUAUUACUGCUGCCACUACGUCGGAGCCGACUCUUCUUUCAGGCGCAUCUGCCUUAUGGCUCCUGCGGAGGUCUUGCGGGACCUUUCAGACGAAAACUGAAACAACCGCCCUCAACCCAAAGGCAACAAAACCAUAGUGGCCACUUUGCGUGUCUGAGUCCGCAAAGAGCAGAAAGGAUUAUUGUCGACGUGACAGAAAAAUGCGUGAUCCUAGGCAGCGUCCUAGAACAGCGUCUAUGGGAUUUGGCCUAGCUACGGGAGACACCCACGGCAAAAUCGUUUACUGCUUUGUCGAGACACACGGUCGAAAAAUACAAUUGAGUUGUUAUAGGCAACGCCACCCACGUCACGCUUAUCUGUCAAAUCGUAAAUUCGAGCUUUUGUAGCAGACUUUGAGGGAUCCACUUUAAGCCAAUCGACUUAUAUUACGAGGGGAUUCCGAGACUUCAGUCCGACAGAAUCUAGUUUUACCGAGUGGUCAGUCUGCUACAAACUACAAACGAAGUCACUACGAGUAAAAGUACCACAAGGUAGAUUGGAGUUUCAUCUGGUGGAAUCUCUAUGCUUCGUGUUUUGUAUCCGGUCAGGGCAAAUCAGCUAUCUUGAUAGUGCUUAUAAUGUUAUUGCAAAGUGUGCUCAGAAUACGCUGAAAUAUAAUAUACACAUUCUAUAGGAAG